rnacentral:rRNA from 1 species
CGUGGGCCGCACGCGCGCUACACUGAUGCGUUCAACGAGUUUAAAACCUUGACCGAUAGGUCUGGGUAAUCUUGUAAAUGCGCAUCGUGCUAGGGAUAGAUUGUUGCAAUUUUCAAUCUUGAACGAGGAAUUCCUAGUAAAUGCAAGUCAUCAGCUUGCGUUGAUUACGUCCCUGCCCUUUGUACACACCGCCCGUCGCACCUACCGAUUGAAUGACUCGGUGAAGAAUUGGGACUGUGAAUCUGUUUGCUUCAUUGCGAAUGGAUUUGUGGGAACUUUUUUUAACCUCGCCAUUUAGAGGAAGGUGAAGUCGUAACAAGGUUUCCGUAGGUGAACCUGCGGAAGGAUCAUUACCACACCAAAAACUAUCCACGUGAACCACUUUGUAUAGGUUUUUUGUCGCCAUAUGCAACGCUUCUUCGAGGAGUGUUUGUGUAUGUGUGGGCUAACCGAAGGCUUUUGACCGUAAGGUUGGAAGCUGAUGUUUUUUCUCACCCUUUACCUCAAUAUGAAUUUCGCAAGAACGAAAGUUUUUGCGUUUACUUCCACAAACUUUCAGCAGUGGAUGUCUAGGCUCGCACAUCGAUGAAGAACGCUGCGAACUGCGAUACGUAAUGCGAAUUGCAGGAUUCAGUGAGUCAUCGAAAUUUUGAACGCAUAUUGCACUUUCGGGUUAUGCCUGAAAGUAUGCCUGUAUCAGUGUCCAUAUCACAAACUUGCCCUUUUUCU